rnacentral:lncRNA from 1 species
GUGACACUUAGUUAAUUUUAACACACACAUACAGACCCCUACCUAUAUUUCUAUCUAUAAAAUUUUAUGAAAUACAGCAAGUAGCUGAAAGAUGCAUGCUUUUUAAAGAGCUGAUUGUUUAAGGGAAAAUAUUCUAAUUGUGUGCCUUCUACUACCAUAUUUGUCUUUUGUAUUUCAGUGAAGUCUUGAGGACCUCGUCUGUUGCGAUAGGUGUAUACGCAUGAGAAAAAAAGUGGUCUUUACCCCAGCUUCCCUGCAGCCAGGGACUGUAGACCUACUGGUGCUGACAACAGAUGGCUCAGAAUGUUCUCAGAGGAGAGCGUGAAGUGAAAAGGGAGAUAGAUAAUUGCUGUGAUCAUGCUGUUGGCCUGGAAGUCAGGAGUUGUUACUGGCUGCGAAAUGAUGCAAAGAAAUUAUUUGACCACAAUGGACAUGUAGUAGUAACAAGAUACUGCUCUGUGGAGAUGACAAAUGUAUAAAUCUCACAGAUUUCUCAGAAAGAGAAUUCUCAGAUACUUUUCUUCGUCCUCAAGAAAAAAACCACAAGGUAUUCUCAUUCCUCUGUUGAGCAUCCUGUAAAUGGAAACGGAAAUGUUUCUUGGGUAAGUUCCCAUUUUUAUAUUGAAAAUGCUGCGGGCCUUGUUC